GCUUUGGUGGUUUAGUGGUAUAAUGCUUCGUUGCCAUCGAAGCGACCCGGGUUCGAUUCCCGGCCGAAGCA
rfam:Schizosaccharomyces cryophilus OY26 unplaced genomic scaffold supercont4.3, whole genome shotgun sequence.